UUUAGAGGAAGUAAAAGUCGUAACAAGGUUUCCGUAGGUGAACCUGCGGAAGGAUCAUUAUUGAAUUUUAAAAGGGGUUGUUGCUGGCUUUCAGUGGAUGGAAGCAUGUGCACGCUCUCUUUUUAUCAACCACCUGUGCACCUUUUGUAGGCUUGGCCCAACAAAAAGGAAACAAUGGUCAAGUUGAUGCUUUUUGCGUUGAUUUGGGUUUUGAGGGUCUGCUGGCCAAGGUCUGCUGCCUUUAGGUUUUCUUUCAAGGGCCAUGUCUAUGUUUUCAUAUUCAUAUAUCCCUAUGGUUUAAAGUUAUAGAAUGUGAUAUAAUAAACUUAAUAACAACUUUCAACAACGGAUCUCUUGGCUCUCGCAUCGAUGAAGAACGCAGCGAAAUGCGAUAAGUAAUGUGAAUUGCAGAAUUCAGUGAAUCAUCGAAUCUUUGAACGCACCUUGCGCUCCUUGGUAUUCCGAGGAGCAUGCCUGUUUGAGUGUCAUUUAAUUAUCAACCACUUCAGGUUUUGUUAAGCAUGAAGCUGGUUUGGAAUUGUGGAGGGUUUUUGCAGGCCUCACAAGGUCAGCUCCUCUUAAAUGCAUUAGCAGGAAUUCUUUGUGUUGAACUGCCAUUGGUGUGAUAAAUUUUGCACCAUGAAGGCUUUCCCCUGGGAUUCUGCUUUCCAACAGUCUUUGGACAACAUUUUUUUGACUAUUUGACCUCAAAUCAGGUAGGACUACCCGCUGAACUUAAGCAUAUCAAUAAGCGGAGGA
rnacentral:rRNA from 1 species